rnacentral:rRNA from 1 species
AGGACGAACGCUGGCGGCGUGCUUAACACAUGCAAGUCGAGCGGAAAGGCCUCUUCGGGGGUACUCGAGCGGCGAACGGGUGAGUAACACGUGAGUAACCUGCCCUGGACUUUGGGAUAACCCUCGGAAACGGGGGCUAAUACCGGAUAUGACGUGCCGCCGCAUGGUGGUGGGUGGAAAGAUUUUUUGGUCUGGGAUGGGCUCGCGGCCUAUCAGCUUGUUGGUGGGGUGAUGGCCUACCAAGGCGACGACGGGUAGCCGGCCUGAGAGGGGCGACCGGGCCAACGACCUGGGAACUGGAGACACGGCCCAGACUCCUACGGGAGGCAGCAGUGGGGAAUAUUGCACAAUGGGCGCAAGCCUGAUGCAGCGACGCCGCGUGAGGGAUGACGGCCCUCGGGUUGUAAACCUCUUUCAGCAGGGACGAAGCGUGAGUGACGGUACCUGCAGAAGAAGCGCCGGCCAACUACGUGCCAGCAGCCGC